rnacentral:rRNA from 1 species
AUUGAACGCUGGCGGCAGGCCUAACACAUGCAAGUCGAGCGGAUGAGGGGUGCUUGCACCCCGAUUCAGCGGCGGACGGGUGAGUAAUGCCUAGGAAUCUGCCCGAUAGUGGGGGACAACGUUUCGAAAGGAACGCUAAUACCGCAUACGUCCUACGGGAGAAAGUGGGGGCUCUUCGGACCUCACGCUAUCGGAUGAGCCUAGGUCGGAUUAGCUAGUUGGUGGGGUAAAGGCUCACCAAGGCGACGAUCCGUAACUGGUCUGAGAGGAUGAUCAGUCACACUGGAACUGAGACACGGUCCGGACUCCUACGGGAGGAAGCAGUGGGGAAUAUUGGACAAUGGGCGAAAGCCUGAUCCAGCCAUGCCGCGUGUGUGAAGAAGGUCCUCGGAUUGUAAAGCACUUUAAGUCGGGAGGAAGGGUUGCAGGUUAAUACCUUGCAGCCUUGACGUUACCGACAGAAUAAGCACCGGCUAACUUCGUGCCAGCCGCCGCCGUAAGAC